rnacentral:rRNA from 1 species
AACGAACGCUGGCGGCAUGCCUAACACAUGCAAGUCGAACGAGACCUUCGGGUCUAGUGUCGCACGGGUGCGUAACGCGUGGUAACCUGCCCUUAGGUUCGGGAUAACUCCCCGAAAGGGGUGCGAAUACCGGUUAAUGUCUUCGGACCAAAGAUUUAUCGCCUUUGGAUGGGCCCGCGUUGGAUUAGCUAGUUGGUAGUGUAAAAGCCUACCAAGGCGACGAUCCAUAGCUGGUCUGAGAGGAUGAUCAGCCACACUGGGACUGAGACACGGCCCAGACUCCUACGGGAGGAAGCAGUGGGGAAUAUUGGACAAUGGGCGAAAGACUGAUCCAGCAAUGCCGCGUGAGUGAUGAAGGCCUUAGGGUUGUAAAGCUCUUUUAACCGGGAUGAUAAUGACAGUACCGGGAGAAUAAGCUCCGGCUAACUACGUG